CCUACGGGUGACAGCAGUAGGGAAUUUUCGGCAAUGGGGGGAACCCUGACCGAGCAACGCCGCGUGAACGAAGAAGUUAUUCGUAAUGUAAAGUCCUUUUAACAGGGAAGAAAGAGAAAUUUGACGGUACCUGAAGAAUAAGCCCCGGCUAACUACGCGCCAGCAGCCGCGGUAACACGUAGGGUGCGAGCGUUAUCCGGAAUUAUUGGGCGUAAAGGGUGCGUAGAUGGCAUAGUAAGUCUUUUGUAAAAAUGCUGGGCUCAACCCAGUAGGGCAAAGGAUACUGCGAAUCUAGAUGGUGACAGAGGCAAGUGGAACUACAUGUGUAGCGGUAAAAUGCGUAAAUAUAUGUAAGAACACCAGUGGCGAAGGCGGCUUGCUGGGUCGAUACUGACGUUGAGGCACGAAAGCGUGGGGAGCGAACAGGAUUAGAUACCCCAGUAGUC
rnacentral:rRNA from 1 species